rnacentral:ncRNA from 2 species
UACGGAGGAUGCAAGCGUUAUCCGGAAUGAUUGGGCGUAAAGCGUCCGCAGGUGGCAAGUCAAGUUUGCGGUUAAAGGUUCUGGCUCAACCAGAGACAGGCCGUGAAAACUGACUAGCUAGAGUAUGGUAGGGGCAGAGGGAAUUCCCAGUGUAGCGGUGAAAUGCGUAGAGAUUGGGAAGAACACCGGUGGCGAAAGCGCUCUGCUAGGCCAAAACUGACACUGAGGGACGAAAGCUAGGGGAGCGAAUGGG